rnacentral:rRNA from 1 species
UACGUAGGGUGCGAGCGUUGUCCGGAUUUAUUGGGCGUAAAGAGCUUGUAGGCGGCUCGUCACGUCGGGUGUGAAAACUCGCGGCUCAACCGCGAGCCUGCACCCGAUACGGGCGGGCUAGAGUUCGGCAGGGGAGACUGGAAUUCCUGGUGUAGCGGUGGAAUGCGCAGAGUAUCAGGAGGAACACCGGUGGCGAAGGCGGGUCUCUGGGCCGAUACUGACGCUGGAGGAGCGAAAGCGUGGGGAGCGAACAGGA